UACGAAGGGUGCUAGCGUUGUUCGGAAUCACUGGGCGUAAAGCGCGCGUAGGCGGCUUAACAAGUCAGGGGUGAAAUCCCACAGCUUAACUGUGGAACUGCCUUUGAAACUGUUAAGCUAGAGUGUCGGAGGGGAUGGCGGAAUUGCUAAUGUAGAGGUGAAAUUCGUAGAUAUUAGCAGGAACACCGGUGGCGAAGGCGGCCAUCUGGACGACAACUGACGCUGAGGCGCGAAAGCGUGGGGAUCAAACAGG
rnacentral:rRNA from 1 species